rnacentral:rRNA from 1 species
UGAUCCUGGCUCAGGAUGAACGCUAGCGGCAGGCUAACACAUGCAAGUCGAGGGGUAACAUUGUAGCUUGCUACAGAUGACGACCGGCGCACGAGUGCGUAACGCGUAUAGAACUUACCUUUUACAGAGGGAUAGCCUUUAGAAAUGAAGAUUAAUACCUCAUAGUAUUAUUGAUUGGCAUCAAUUAAUAAUUAAAGGUUUAUCGGUAAAAGAUGGCUAUGCGUCCUAUUAGCUAGAUGGUAAGGUAAUGGCUUACCAUGGCUACGAUAGGUAGGGGCCCUGAGAGGGGGAUCCCCCACACUGGUACUGAGACACGGACCAGACUCCUACGGGAGGCAGCAGUGAGGAAUAUUGGGCAAUGGAGGUAACUCUGACCCAGCCAUGCCGCGUGCAGGAAGACUGCCCUAUGGGUUGUAAACUGCUUUUAUACAGGAAGAAACACUCGUACGUGUACGAGCUUGACGGUACUGUAAGAAUAAGGACCGGCUAACUCCGUGCCAGCAGCCGCGGUAAUACGGAGGGUCCGAGCGUUAUCCGGAAUCAUUGGGUUUAAAGGGUCCGCAGGCGGUCAAUUAAGUCAGAGGUGAAAUCCCAUAGCUUAACUAUGGAACUGCCUUUGAUACUGGUUGACUUGAGUCAUAUGGAAGUAGAUAGAAUGUGUAGUGUAGCGGUGAAAUGCAUAGAUAUUACACAGAAUACCGAUUGCGAAGGCAGUCUACUACGUAUGUACUGACGCUCAUGGACGAAAGCGUGGGGAGCGAACAGGAUUAGAUACCCUGGUAGU